AUGAAUUGCUCGUCAGGCCACCAGCAUAGUGUGUUUUCGUGUGCUCAGCUGGAACUUCCUGCGGAAGAGGCAUUCUCCACGCCCAGCCUACCACGUGAACAGCUGCUUUGGAAAAUGUUAUUCUGGGAAUGCCUCCAAGUACAUCACUUACAGACUCAUCGAUGCCUUCUUGUCUGGGGUCUCAGCCAUCUGCUUACUGCAUCCAUCACCUUGCUCAUUUAUUCAUUGAACAACAGACAAGAUAAGGGGAAAUGCUGUGGUCCUAGAUCGCGAGCCCCAUGCCCAGGGCAGGGCUACGCCUUGGUCAUCAUUUUACCCCCACUGCCAAUCUCAGGGCCUGGCUCUGCACUGUGCAUUAGGACCCCUCUGGUGGAUGGUGGAGUGAGGCAGAGAAACAGCCUGGCAUGAGAGACAGCCUACACAUCAAGGGGCGUGAAGAGGCGAGACUGGAACACAGGACCAGAACCAGAUAAUGAGGACCCCGAAAUGUCAAGCCUCUGGCUUUGUAUCUGGAGACCAAUGGACUGUUCCUUUGAGCAGGGAAGUCACAGUCUCCAAAUGACUUUGGAAAGAGCCAUCCGGGAGCCCAGAGAAGGAAGGGCUGGAAGGGGAGGCUGGAGACUAGGACAACCAGGAGGAGUCUUGGGGUUGCUGGGGUUACCCAGCAUUUUGGGUUGUUCUGCACAUCUGUCUCCUGGUGAGCAUUUGAACCCAGCACCACACAAUGCCUGGCCCGUGGCCGGUGCUCCACGGAGCUGAGGAGAGGGCAAGGUCCACCCGGGCCCUUCCUGCAGAGAGCCACAGGUGCCUGCCCCGGUCAAGACCCUUGAUCAAGGCUGCCCACACCCUGCUUUCUGUCCAAAGGGCACAUCCCAGCAGCACCCGCAAGGCCCCAGUGGAGGGCCACUCCCGGUCCAAGUCUUCAAGGCUAUUGGGACACCUGGUGGCUCAGGGGUUGAGUGUCUGCCUUCGGCUCAGGUUGUGAUCCCGAGAUCCGGAUUGAGUCCCACAUCGGGCUCCCUGCAUGGAGCCUGCUACUCCCUCUGCCUCUCUCUCUUCCUCUCUCUCUCUCUCUCUCUCUGUCUCUCAUGAAUAAAUAAAUAAAAUCUUAAAAAAAAAAAAAAAAG
rnacentral:lncRNA from 12 species